CAGGACGAACGCUGGCGGCAUGCCUAAUACAUGCAAGUCGAACGCGACCAGCCGGUGCUUGCACUGGCGAAGUCGAGUGGCGAACGGGUGAGUAACACGUGAGAAACCUACCCUGGAGUGGGAAUAACUCGAAGAAAUUCGAGCUAAUACCGCAUACCUUCUUACCGUCGAAUGGUGGUUUGAAGAAAGAUUUAUCGCUCUGGGAGGGUCUCGCGGCCUAUCAGCUAGUUGGUGAGGUAACGGCUCACCAAGGCAUCGACGGGUAGCUGGUCUGAGAGGACGAUCAGCCACACUGGAACUGAGACACGGUCCAGGCUCCUACGGGAGGCAGCAGUAGGGAAUCUUGCGCAAUGGGCGAAAGCCUGACGCAGCAAUGCCGCGUGCGGGACGAAGGCCCUAGGGUCGUAAACCGCUUUCAGUAGGGACGAGAAUGACGGUACCUGCAGAAGAAGCUCCGGCCAACUACGUG
rnacentral:rRNA from 1 species